rnacentral:rRNA from 1 species
GUCCACGCCGUAACGAUGGGUGCUAGGUGUGGGGUGUCGACUCCCUCCGUGCCGCAGCUAACGCAUUAAGCACCCCGCCUGGGGAGGUACGGCCGCAAGGCUAAACUCAAAGGAAUUGACGGGGACCCGCACAAGCAGCGGAGCAUGUGGUUUAAUUCGAUGCAACGCGAAGAACCUUACCAGGGCUUGACAUGCACUGGAAAACCGUAGAAAUACGGUCCUCCUUCGGGACCAGUGCACAGGUGGUGCAUGGCUGUCGU